UGAUCCUGGCUCAGGAUGAACGCUAGCGGCAGGCUUAACACAUGCAAGUCGAGGGGUAACAUUGUGCUUGCACAGAUGACGACCGGCGCACGGGUGCGUAACGCGUAUAGAACCUACCUUUUACAGAGGGAUAGCCUUUAGAAAUGAAGAUUAAUACCUCAUAGUAUUGCGAUUUGGCAUCAGAUUGUAAUUAAAGAUUUAUCGGUAAAAGAUGGCUAUGCGUCCUAUUAGUUAGUUGGUAAGGUAACGGCUUACCAAGACAUCGAUAGGUAGGGGUCCUGAGAGGGAGAUCCCCCACACUGGUACUGAGACACGGACCAGACUCCUACGGGAGGCAGCAGUGAGGAAUAUUGGACAAUGGAGGAGACUCUGAUCCAGCCAUGCCGCGUGCAGGAAGACUGCCCUAUGGGUUGUAAACUGCUUUUAUACAGGAAGAAACACUAGUACGUGUACUAGCUUGACGGUACUGUAAGAAUAAGGACCGGCUAACUCCGUGCCAGCAGCCGCGGUAAUACGGAGGGUCCGAGCGUUAUCCGGAAUCAUUGGGUUUAAAGGGUCCGCAGGCGGUCGAUUAAGUCAGAGGUGAAAUCCCAUAGCUUAACUAUGGAACUGCCUUUGAUACUGGUUGACUUGAGUCAUAUGGAAGUAGAUAGAAUGUGUAGUGUAGCGGUGAAAUGCAUAGAUAUUACACAGAAUACCGAUUGCGAAGGCAGUCUACUACGUAUGUACUGACGCUCAUGGACGAAAGCGUGGGGAGCGAACAGGAUUAGAUACCCUGGUAGU
rnacentral:rRNA from 1 species